GACGAACGCUGGCGGCAUGCUUAACACAUGCAAGUCGAACGGAAAGGCCCUGCUUUUGUGGGGUGCUCGAGUGGCGAACGGGUGAGUAACACGUGAGUAACCUGCCCUUGACUUUGGGAUAACUUCAGGAAACUGGGGCUAAUACCGGAUAGGAGCUCCUGCUGCAUGGUGGGGGUUGGAAAGUUUCGGCGGUUGGGGAUGGACUCGCGGCUUACCAGCUUGUUGGUGGGGUAGUGGCUUACCAAGGCUUUGACGGGUAGCCGGCCUGAGAGGGUGACCGGCCACAUUGGGACUGAGAUACGGCCCAGACUCCUACGGGAGGCAGCAGUGGGGAAUAUUGCACAAUGGGCGGAAGCCUGAUGCAGCAACGCCGCGUGCGGGAUGACGGCCUUCGGGUUGUAAACCGCUUUCGCCUGUGACGAAGCGUGAGUGACGGUAAUGGGUAAAGAAGCACCGGCUAACUACGUG
rnacentral:rRNA from 1 species